rfam:Lachnobacterium bovis DSM 14045 genome assembly, contig: IE72DRAFT_scaffold00005.5
CGGAUGGUAUUCGAAAAGAAACUAUACCGUAAUUGAUAAGAUGUUUUUUAAAUUAAGGGUAGAGUAGACUAAGUGACGAAGCUUGCAUCAUUUUUAUGAGUGGGACUUGUAU